rnacentral:rRNA from 1 species
UCUCAACAACGGAUAUCUAGGCUCUCGCAACGAUGAAGAACGCAGCGAAAUGCGAUACGUAGUGUGAAUUGCAGAAUUCCGUGAGUCAUCGAAUCUUUGAACGCACAUUGCCGGUCGAGUCUUCGGACGAGACCACAUCUGCCUCAGCGUCGGGAUACCCCCUCACGCCCGCUCGCGAGAGCGGGCCGUGGACCUGGCCCCCCCGGUCCUUGCGGCCGGGCUGGCUGAAGUACAGAGGUUCGUGCGCGGCCCAUUCGCGGCCCCGACUAGGUAGGUUGCUCGCAACUUCUAGGCGGAGGCUCGGUGCCGUGUGCUAUGAGCCACGAAGGAUACUAACUUUCCAUUCGACCUGAGUUCAGGUGAGGCUACCCGCNUGAACUUAAGCAUAUCAUAGGGGGGAAAAGA